rnacentral:rRNA from 1 species
UACGGGGGGGGCAAGCGUUGUUCGGAAUUACUGGGCGUAAAGGGCUCGUAGGCGGCCAACUAAGUCAGACGUGAAAUCCCUCGGCUUAACCUGGGAAUGGCAGUGGAAACUGGCGGGCUUGAGUGUGGCAGAGGGGGGUGGAAUUCCGCGUGUAGCAGUGAAAUGCGUAGAGAUGCGGAGGAACACCGAUGGCGAAGGCAGCCCCCUGGGCUGACACUGACGCUGAGGCACGAAAGCGUGGGGAGCGAACAGG